UUGCCAGUUCGCCAAUAUUAUUUUCGGACUCAAGAGAAUAUAGAUAACUCAUUCGACAUGGGAGAGCACUCAUUUCAUGAAAAAGAAAGGCACAAUGAUAACUCUAUUCAGCAUCGACUGUCCGAAUCAAGACCAAAGUUCAAGCCUGUGCUGGUGAAGAAGUUGUCAGCUGAGGAGAGUGACGAUGAUAACGAUGAUCCAUACGGUCAACUUCAAAUCAUUCAAACGAAGUUUCAGAAGUUUCAUGAUUUUAAAGGUGAUUUUCAACCGCUUUCUGAGGAAACUGCUGACAAUUCCAAAACCUAACCUAGUUUAAUUGCUAAUAGUUAAAGUAGAUGUUGCAGUCAAGGAUGAAGCCGCUGUUGCUACUGUUAGUGUUACAAGCACUGUUCAAAAGGUUGAGGAAAGAUUCUUUGAGAAUUAGAGUAUGUAGUAAAAAAGAGCGAGGAAGAAAAGUUACUGUUGGACAAAGCUUCUGUUAAAUCAAAGCAUACUGCUGGAGCAAGCGUACUUAAGUUUUAAGAUCUAAAAAGUGUCACCAAAGUGAUUUCAGUGCCAAGCCUAAAUAUUCUCCUGACCUAAAGCGUCAUUCUUGCAAUUCUGUCGUAAAUCAAGAGAGUCAUGAGCAUCAUAGAUUUUCUUCUUCAAGUUGAUAAACAGCAUAGUAACGCAAGGAGUGACGAGAAAGCUACAAUAGCCUUGAUGGCAAACCAAAUGCGUACUACAAAAUGUCCCAGUUGACAGCGAAUGCAUCAAUGGUAGCAAUGGAUAUUCCAAUGGAGCAACUACAAGGAUCUGCUAGAUCAAAUCCUUGCUACUCGCAUAGAAAUACCUUUCAAACUUCUCAAAACAAGAUAGGAAGUGAAUUUGCUAAGAAUUCUACACACAUCUGCUACUAUAUUCUCAUAUUGAUCACAACAACACAUGGCUCCAACCAAUGCAAAGUCAAAUGUCUUCAUCAACAGUAUUGCUCAAUCAUAAAGUUCUAGACAUGAAAAUCCAAGGUAUUUCACUGGAGAAAGUAAAAGUAUUCGCAGAUGACUAGCAGAAACAAUGUAUUCAGACCCAACAAUUUCAAGAGACAGGGGAAAUAUAGUCAAGCGAAAUCAACAUGAAAUUUUUAAAAGCGAAGGUUAUGCAAAAUUGUCAGUAUUUGAAUCAAGUUAAUUCCGAUAUAUAUUGAAUGCAAGCCGAAUAUGCAGUAUCAUAGUAAUGCUUAUAAUAAUAUGUAAGCCGCAAGAACAGCAGAUAAUUAUCAAGUCAAACAAAGUCAGAGUGCACACCCCCCAAUUAAUUCAUGGAAUUCAAGACAAAAUUAAGUAAUUACUAUCAAAGUUCGACAGUAUUUAGUUUUGGGUGUACUUUGCCAGUGAAUGAGUUGUGUAGUUGUGGCGGCACAAGACUUAUCUAGUUCAGAACUGAGGGCUAUUAAGUGUGUUAAUCCGAGUAAAAUGGAUAAAGAAUCAGCUCAAGGAUGUUUGCAGGAAAUUUGUAUGCUUCACAGACUGAAAGCUCCUUGCAUUAAUCACAUUGAGAUUAAACAACCCUGGGUUUAUGCAUGUUGUUAUGGAAAUAGGUGAUACAGAUUUGAGUUGUUUAUCAUGGAAUAAAGAAAACUUUUUUUAUGUCAUUUUAUGAGUCAUUCAUUCCGAUGUAAAACCAGCUAAUCUCUUAAUAGUACGAGGUAACUUAAAACUCAUAUAUUUCGGCAUCGAAUCAAAUAUUAAUUCCAACAUGAAAUCAUGUACAAGUAGCUUCAUCAAGAAACUCUUACUUUAAAAUUUACGAAAUACUGUAGCAGAUAAGUUACAAAUCCUACGUUUGGUCAUUGGGUUGUAUUUUAUUGACAGACUACUUUACGGCGUAACACCGUUUAAUCAUAUCCGUCAACAGUGGGCUAAAAUCAGUGCUAUAACUGAUCCCAAGCAUAAAAUAAAUUUCCCUCUGACAACCGGGUCCGAACCAGUACCAGUAAUAUUAGUUGACACAAUGCGCAAGCGUCUUCAAUGUGACGCUAAAGCAAGACAUACUUACAGAGGAACAUAAGUGCUUCGAUAUUACCUAGCAUACCACCAAAUUUCCUGAUUAAGAUCAAGCAUGUUCUUUUUGACGAAGAGUGAUACUUGAUGCUGGAGGAAAACCGUGAUCUAUGUUACUGAAAUAAUGAAAAAUGUACUCAUCAUAUACUAGUCGUUAGAUUUUAGUGCAUUAAAAAUUAUAUUUAUAAAUAUGAGAAUUUCGCUAACCGUUUUAAUUGUUAAGAUGUCAGUGUAAAAACUAUUGUAAAAUUAUUUUUCUGUCAAUAGUAAUGAAAGCGGGGCAUGUGGAAUCUAGAAAGAAUCGAUCCAGAGUGUAUUUAUGAACAGAAGAGCACGAAGAAAAUUUGUAAGAAAUGGACGACAAAUGAUGAAUUUUUAAAGAACAUACAAAUUUAGAAUUUGCAAAAUCAUAAAUGCAUGAAGAUUCAGACGAAUUGAUCAAAUUAAUGUCCGUUAUAUUAAAAUAGAAAACUGUACUUUGUACUUACGUCAACUCCGAACCUCAUAUUAGUAAUUAUCAAGCGUAUAAAAGUAUCAAUAUCAUCAAGUAGCAUGGUACACAUUGGUUUAUCUACAAUAUCAUGUCCGAAGAAAGGUACUUGGAAAACAACAAACAUGUAUGAUGUGGUAAAGUUAAAAUAAAUUUACAAGUAAUUUCAAAAUUUGUGCAGUUUCAGUCAUAUGUUACAUAUAUCACCAAGGCUAUUGUUAUAUUGAAUUCUUCUUUUUGUAAGCGUGAAAUUUUUGAUUGUGCAUUAUCAUAUUUAAGCCAGGAUCCAUUAAAAUUUCUGGAAUAAGCAAUAUAGUGUCGUAGUUUUUGUGUUU
rnacentral:lncRNA from 1 species